UGACUCUCGGCAAUGGAUAUCUUGGCUCUUGCAUCGAUGAAGAGCGCAGCGAAAUGCGAUACGUGGUGUGAAUUGCAGAAUCCCGUGAACCAUCGAGUUUUUGAACGCAAGUUGCGCCCGAGGCCAAUUGGUUGAGGGCACGUCCGCCUGGGCGUCAAGC
rnacentral:rRNA from 3 species